rnacentral:pre_miRNA from 1 species
AGUAGGAUACCUGGGUCAAAUUGUGAUUCCAUUUCUAGUUUUCUGAGGAAUCUCCAUACUGCUUUCCAGAGUAGUUGCACUAAUUUGCAGUUCCAUCAGCAAU